UGGGGAAUAUUGCGCAAUGGGCGAAAGCCUGACGCAGCAACGCCGUGUGAGGGAUGAAGGCUUUCGGGUCGUAAACCUCUGUCAGAAGGGAAGAACGGGCAUUGGUCUAAUAGGCCUUUGUUUUGACGGUACCUUCAGAGGAAGCACCGGCUAACUCCGUGCCAGCAGCCGCGGUAAUACGGAGGGUGCAAGCGUUAUUCGGAAUUACUGGGCGUAAAGCGCACGUAGGCCGCUUUGUAAGUCAGGGGUGAAAUCCCACGGCUCAACCGUGGAACUGCCCUUGAAACUGCGAAGCUUGAAUCCUGGAGAGGGUGGCGGAAUUCCUGGUGUAGGAGUGAAAUCCGUAGAUAUCAGGAGGAACACCGGUGGCGAAGGCGGCCACCUGGACAGGUAUUGACGCUGAUGUGCGAAAGUGUGGGGAGCAAACAG
rnacentral:rRNA from 1 species